GUGAAUAGGCAGCGCGUUCGGCUGUUAACCGAAAGGUUGGUGGUUCGAGCCCACC
rnacentral:tRNA from 1 species